UACAGGGGGUGCAAACGUUGCUCGGAAUUAUUGGGCGUAAAGCGCGCGUAGGCGGCUACUUAUGUCGGAUGUGAAAGCCCUUGGCUCAACUGAGGAAGUGCACCCGAAACUGAGUAGCUGGAGUACGAAAGAGGGUCGCAGAAUUCCCGGUGUAGAGGUGAAAUUCGUAGAUAUCGGGAGGAACACCGGUGGCGAAGGCGGCGACCUGGGUCGAUACUGACGCUGGAGCGCGAAAGCGUGGGGAGCAAACAGG
rnacentral:rRNA from 1 species